GUGGCAUUGUGUUGUGUGACACAUCUGCAGAUUUUAGAGUGACCUUUUAUUGUCCCCAACACAAGGUGCACAUGUGUAAUGAUCACAUUGUUUAAUCUGCUUCUUGAUAUGACACCCCUGUCAAGUGGAUGGAUUAUCUUGGCAAAGGAGAAUUUCUAACUAAAUGGGAUGAAAACACAUUUUUGCAACAAAUUUGAGAAAUAAGCUUUUUGUGAGAAUGGAACAUUUUUGGAAUCUUUUAUUUCAGCUCAAAACAUGGGACCAACAAUUUACAUGUUGAAUUUAUAUUUUUAUUCAGUGUAUAAAUGUCUGUGGGUAUUACUGACAGUGACUCCUAAUAGUGGCUAAUAUUUAACAUGAUACAAAUUGUAAAAUAAAACUGAACAAAUCUUGGGUAUAUAAUUAAAACAUUUUAAAGUGCAUACAUUAACUCGGCAGGUUCAGCCCUACAAACCUAUAGCUUGGUUUUCCAAAUUUCAUCCACGCAAAUUAUGAGGGCACACAAUAAAACAUUUGAAUAACUGCAUAGCUAUUUACAGCCUAAUUCACUGAGGAAAAUGAGCCACAAUACAUAUGUUAUUCAUGGUUUCCUUGCGCGUACAGCUGUAGAUACCUCAAACACACCUUUAUUUCUGAGAUCUCUACCCAAAACGAAUAGCGGGUGAACAGCAUGCUAUUAUCAUGCAUAAAUUCAAGGUCAGAUUACGCAGAGAGUGCAUUAAAGGGAAUUACGUUCCAUUUACGCAUGCUUAACUCGGGUCAGAAUCAUCCCCAAUGUGCCCUACUGGUCCUGGUCAAAAGCAAUGCACUAUGUAGGAAAUAGUGGAAUACUUUUGACUAGAGCCCUCUGAGCUGGUCCAAUGGGCCCUGGUCAAAAGCAUGGCACUAUGUAGAGAAUAGGGUGCCAUUUGGGACGCACUAUGAGCCUCUCUGUUAUCGUAGGGGGCUAAUUUAUCUCCAAUGGGAAGGCUAAACUGGGUUGAAAAUCUUAAUGAAUCAUUUGGGCGAGAUGAGUCAUCAUAUUGGCGAUUGAUAAUCGGGAUCAUUGGCAUAACUUCGCAAUUUCAUCAUCCUGUAAAAUGAGACG
rnacentral:lncRNA from 13 species